UUGAUAUUUAUUAUUUGUGAAGGUACUACUAAUUAACAACAAUUUAUAAAUCAUAUCAAAAAAAAAUCA
rnacentral:misc_RNA from 1 species